AGAGAUGUGUGAUGACGCAUAUCAAUAAGCGGAGGAAAAGAAACUAACAAGGAUUCCCUUAGUAACGGCGAGUGAAGCGGGGAGAGCUCAAAUUUGAAAUCUUCAAGGUUCUACCUUGACGAAUUGUAGUUUAUAGAAGUGUUUUCUGUUAGUGGAGUGGCAAAAGUUCUUUGGAAUAGGACAUCAUAGAGGGUGAGAAUCCCGUAUUUGGUCAUUCCUCCUAGCGUUGUGAUACACUUUCAACGAGUCGGAUUGUUUGGGAAUGCAGUCCAAAAUGGGUGGUAAAUUUCAUCUAAAGCUAAAUAUUGGCGAGAGACCGAUAGCGAACAAGUACCGUGAGGGAAAGAUGAAAAGAACUUUGAAAAGAGAGUUAAACAGUACGUGAAAUUGUCAAAAGGGAAGCGUUUGACACCAGUGUUGUUUUUCCGAAAAUCAAUUACGAAUGUUUUGUUUUUAAGAAGUUAUGACUUCAUCGGCUUGCUUCUCUCUUUACGAAACUUUCUUAAUGCACUUUUCGGUUAACAAGUCAACAUUAAUUUCUUUUGUUGUAAAGGGGUAUGAGGAAGGUGGCUUUCUUUUCGGAGAAAGUGUUUAUAGCCUUGUACCUCUGCAAUCGGAGAGAUUGAGGUCUGCAGCGUAGAUCCUUCGGGGUUAGAUACAUUUGUGCUAAGUUAUAGCUUUUCAUAGACAACUUGUUGACUAUGUUAAGUCUUGUAGCUUACUCGCUUAUGCUAUUUUACCUACGCUUAGGAUGUUGAUAGUCACAGCGUGUAC
rnacentral:rRNA from 1 species